rnacentral:lncRNA from 1 species
CUUCUCUCUCCUGCUGCCUUGUGAAGAAGGUGCCUGCCUCCUCUCACCUUCCUCCAUAAUCAUAAGUUUCCUGAGGCCACCCCAGCCAUAUGGAACUGUUCAGAACUAAUUUGUUGCAACUGUUUUGGUAUCCAUGCCAAGCCUUGUGGAGUCAAACUCAUACAUGAGUUCCAAAGAGCAACCCCAGAGGACUGCACCCAGAAGGGCUCCACCACUGCCUGCUCUCCCAACGAAAGCCUGAGGAGGGCCAAGGCAGCCCCUGCCCUGCGUGCAUGGUUAGAACAUGCUGAACUCUGCAGUGUCACUGGCUGCCAGCCUCUGGGAGGCAGAGAAAAUGCUGAGAAGAAAACGCUAAGAAAGGGUUCUGCACAUGCUCUGAAAGUUUUGGAAGAUAAUGUGUUUUUCCUGGCAGCUUAGCUAUAUGGACCUGCAGACAGUAAUAGUUCUCAUGUACAGAGGCAUCUAAUUAGUGAAACUCUAGCUUCAGAGACCUGACUCCAACUUCUCCAGUUCCAUAUAAUAUCCUGGCAGCACACAGAAACUGCCAGACAACGCAGUCAAGGGUGAAGCAGAACAAUGCUGGAAUACCUUCCCGUGAAUCCAGGUCUCUGGGAAGUGCAGAAAUAUUUUUUAGGUAUAGUUUGGAGCUG